GGAGAAGGCCUUAAAGAAUCCACUUCCUUCCCUUUGUUUUUUUUGGCAGGGUGGGGGCAGGGUGAAGUUGAUAGCCGGCUUAAAAGAAACAGUCUCCAUCAAACCCAAGGUACAUUUGCUCUUGUCUCUCUGAGCAAAUAUAUCAGGCCCUGAGAUGCCAAGACCCUCAAGUAAAUAAUAAUGAUGCUUUUCAGACCAGGAUUUCAAACUGCUUAGCUGUGAUUAGUCUUCUUUUUAAACACAGAAAAACUGAGGUGAUUUGAAGGAAUCCACUGACAGGUCAAAGGGAGGCUCAAGGAAGCCUUGGCCCCAUGCUGGGCCCCACUUACCUGAGGGCAAGGAGGCCCUGCUGGUUUCUGGACAGAAGUAAACUGAGUCUCUUAUUGAUGUCUCCAGGGCAAAGCCCUGUAGGCCAAGGAGGCAGGCUGCAAGAUCAAUUCUGGAAGGCCCUUCUAUGGUCAGCUUUGUCCAGAGGCAUCCGUGUGUCAUGGAGUAAGAGGCAGCUUACUGGUUGGAAUAAGGUUUGAGUCCUGUGACAGGAACCUCAGUUUUCUCAUCUGUGAAAUGGGGAUAGUGUCCUUAGGCACAGGGUUCAUUAAGGACUAAUUAGAUGUGGGAGAGUGUAGCGCAGUAUAUGGUGCAGAACCAAGCAGUGAUAAUCAUAAGAAUCAUAAUACCACCAUCGUCAUCAUCAUCUCCCUGUGAAAAGACUACUUCCCUAGCAGUGGAGAUCCCAAGAAUCUCAAAGAUCUGAGGGGGCUAAGAAAACUCACCCCACACUCCUGGACCCUUCAGGCCACUGCUGCUAAGGGAGGAGAGCAAUUCCAUAGAAACAGCGACAAGAUUUCCUGGUAAGCUCACUGUCUCCUAGAUUCCUGGGGAGCCUUGGAGAUGUGGGCUGAAGAGGUUCUGAGAACCCCUGUAUCAAGAAUGUCUGACUUCAAUAUAGAACUUUUUUAAAAAUUAAUUAAUUACGGGGUGUUGUUGUUGUUGUUGUUGUUGUUGCCACACCACAUGGCUGUGAGAUCUUAGUUUCUCAGCCAGGGAUCAAACCUGGGCCCUCAGCAGUGAAAGCUCAGAGUCCUAACCACUGGAGGGCCAGGGAAUUUCCAAGAUGGAACUUUCAAAAAUUUACUCUCUAAAGGAUCUGGACUAAGACUGUGUGUCUGCAGACCCUGAAACUGAUGAUCGGCUUGAUGGGAGCAGGUAUCCUGGAAAGGAACUGAGUUUGGAGGGAAACCCAGAGUUCUACAGACCUGUGUUCCAAUCCCCUCUCUGCUAAAUCUCAGCUGUGUGGGCCUGAAUAAACAACGCUGCGGUAAUACACUCUCUUGGGAUGACAAAUAUCAGGCUGCAGGCCUCACAGUAAGAGGCCCCAAAUGGCAGCUCUGUUGGUUGGAUCAACGCAAUCAGUAAAUGGACUGGUUUGAGACGAUUGAAAUGAUAAUGGAAGCUGCCCAGGACUCAGUAUCUGGCUGGAGCCAUGGUCUAACAGCUGUGUGGGCAUUAUAAAUCUCUCUCUUGGAGAUGAGGCUCCGAGGCUCUCGAUGGAUCCUGCUAAUGGUAAAUCUGUCAGUGCCCACAGCGCGAGACCUGGACUCAGAGCAUCAAGCGGCCAGCAGGUCCUCAGUCUUGGAGAGUGGACUGCUUUCUGGAUGGAGCCCAAGGUUAAAUGGAGCCAGGUCUGAUGAACAAGAUAUCACAAUAUAACAGAAAGGCUUUCGGCAUUCCAGACUUGAAAAGGAAAGUGAAAAGGAAACGUUCCGAGCAUAGCGGCUGAUAUUCCUCUGGGAAAGGCGCAGCACAGGCUGACCGCCCAGUUCCUCACUGGUGCUCUCUUGUACAUUCUGGUUUCUUUCAGGGAACCAGAUCCCACAUGCUGCAAUUUAAAAUUCCAGAUGCCGCAACUAAGACCCAUCGCAGCCAAAUAAAUAAAUAUUACAAGAAAAUCAUCAAUGCCUUGAAAGAACAAAGAAAGACCGAGGAACACUUCCAGAUUAAAAGAGGCUGAGCGAUAUGAACUGAAUGCCACGUGGGGUCCAGGGUUUCCUUGUGUUAUAAAGGACACUGCUGGGACAAAUGGCAAGAUCCAUGUAAAACAGACAAGAAUGCUGUUUUGGUGUUCAUUCCCUGAUUUUGGUAAUCAUAUUGGAAGAUAUCAUAUUGUAAGAGAAUGUCAUCUGCUUUUAGGCAAUACACGCUAAAGUAUUCAGAGGUAAAAGCAGUAUUAUGUCUGCAGCUUACUGUGAAACAGUUCUAAAAAAAAAAUCUUCCUCUUCUAUGUAUAUCUAUCUAGAGAGAAAUGGAAAAGAAUAUGGCAAAUGUGAUAAAGUGUUUACAUUUGGGGAAUCCAGGUGAAGGGUGUGUGGGAAUUCUUUGUACUGUCCCUGCUGCUUUUUUGUAAGUCUGAAAUUGUAUUUAGAUAAAAAGUAAUGAAAAAGAAAGAAGUAGAUUGCAGUGGGUGCAUGGUUGCCCCCCAAAAGAGGAAAAACUGACCUGCAGUAGGGGCGGGACUGUCCCUGGAAACGCCUGCCUCAGCUGACGCAGGCCCUGUUCCCGUCUCCCUCUGGUGGCUCGCAGGCCUGCCCUGCCCCACAGCCACAGCUAAACUCACCGUCUACCUCACUCACGCCCGGGCUUCUCUGAAGGCCAGGCUGGGUGUGGACAGGUCACGGGCCCUAAGAGGGCAGUCACAGAGAGUUUUCCCUGGGAACCCCUGGCUGUGGAGACACAGCUCCACCCUCCUUGCACAUCUGGGUUUGGGGGACUCUAUUCAGAGCCACAGAGCAGAGGACCACGGAGGUGAGGGGUCUACAGAGGCCCCCCGUCUGUCAGUAAGCAUUGUGAAGAGUACAUACCUCGGGCGGUCUCGCUGUUUCACCUGCCUGGGCUGGGCAGGGCUGAGAGGAGAGGGUCUUUAUGGCCCAGAGGAAG
ensembl:lncRNA